rnacentral:lncRNA from 1 species
UUUCAUUUAAAUCCCAUACUAUGAAUGUUACCACAAAAUGAAUAUCUUUGUUACAUAUUUGAUUUACAAUAGAGUUGAGUAUGAAUCAAAGUAUCCUUGAUAAAUUCGAAACAGGUUACGACGUUUUAAGUUUGUGUGUGUAUAUUAUAGCAAUAUUAAUACGAAUUUUGACCUAUAAUUAUUAAUGCAAAGUGACAAACUUUAGUUUGUUUUGGAUGAUUUUUAAAGCGAGAAUGUGGAAGCUGUGGGAUUGAAAAACGUUUGUUGGCUCGACAUCACGGGAAAAUUCGACACGAGGAACCUCACUCCGGGGAUUGUUUACGAGGUAGUCUUUAAGGUGAAGCUAGAGGAUCCGGCCUAUGGAUGGGACACGCCGGUGAACCUAAAGCUAGUCUUGCCUAACGGUAAGGAGAAACCACAAGAGAAAAAGGUGAGU